rnacentral:rRNA from 1 species
UGAGGAAUAUUGGUCAAUGGACGCAAGUCUGAACCAGCCAAGUAGCGUGCAGGAUGACGGCCCUAUGGGUUGUAAACUGCUUUUAUAUGGGGAUAAAGUGGGGAACGUUUUCCCUUUUGCAGGUACCAUAUGAAUAAGGACCGGCUAAUUCCGUGCCAGCAGCCGCGGUAAUACGGAAGGUUCGGGCGUUAUCCGGAUUUAUUGGGUUUAAAGGGAGCGUAGGCCGUUUGGUAAGCGUGUUGUGAAAUGUAGGAGCUCAACUUCUAGAUUGCAGCGCGAACUGUCAGACUUGAGUGCGCACAACGUAGGCGGAAUUCAUGGUGUAGCGGUGAAAUGCUUAGAUAUCAUGAAGAACUCCGAUUGCGAAGGCAGCUUACGGGAGCGCAACUGACGCUGAAGCUCGAAGGUGCGGGUAUCGAACAGG